UUCUUUUCUUUCUCUUUCCCGUAUGCUCUCUCUCCCUCUCGGUUCCUUCUCUUUUUCUUUCAUUUUGGAGACAAAAACUUUGAGGUUUGAUUACUCAAUCAUCUUUCAUCGGAUUUAGGAACCGUUUAAAGCGAAACGAAGCUUGUAGCGAACUCUACGCAUCCAUACUAUCAAUUUCCAGAUUUGAGUCUUCCUUGGAGCUUGAAUUUGGAGGACCUAUUCUAGGGAUUUCGGCUUGGAUUGUGAGGUCUUGGAAAGGAACUGGUGAAUGACAACCCACCUCAAGCUUGAACGGCGUUAGAAGUCCACUUUUGUAUCUUUCUAUAUUCCCCAUUAUUUUGUAAAACACUAGAAGUGCAAAGAUGUAUAAUUAUUUUGUGGAACUUUGUCAUGUAAUAUAACUAAAGUAUUGAUGAUGUUUUGGAUGGGGAUUUGAUACUA